UGGGUGGCUCAGUCGGUUAAGCGGCCGACUUCGGCUCAGGUCACGAUCUCGCAGUCCGUGGGUUCGAGCCCCGCGUCGGGCUCUGUGCUGACAGCUCAGAGCCUGGAGCCUGUUUCAGUUUCUGUGUCUCCCUCUCUCUCUGCCCCUCCCCUGUUCAUGCUCUGUCUCUCUCUGUCUCAAAAAUAAAUAAACGUUAAAAAAAAAAAAUUAAAAAAAAAAUCAAUCAUAAUGAAAGACUUUUACCUCUGUUUCCUGACCUAACUCUUCUCUCUUUGGUGAAGGGUGUGUUUUAGAUUUGGGGGACUGGGCAUUUGGGAGACACUUUAAAUUUGGAAACUCGUAUCUUUGAGUUAUGGGAAGUUUUCUUGUAUAGGCUCUUUAGUGAUUUCUUUCUUCUCUGUUUUGUUGUUCUCUUUGGCAUUUUCAUUAGCCAGAUAUGAGACUCCCAGGAUUGUUGCUCUAAACUUUUAACUUUUGUCUUUUGGUUUUCCUUCCUGGGAAGUUUACUCAGUUUUAUCUUACUAUUAAAAAAAAAAAAGUUUAUUUAUUUAAAGUUUUUUUAAUGUUUAUUUAUUUUUGAGAUAGAGACAGAGCAUGAACGGGGGAGGGUCAGAGAGAGAGAGGGAGACACAGAAUCUGAAUCAGGCUCCAGGCUCUGAGCUGUCAGCACAAAGCCCGACACGGGGCUCGAACUCAUGGACCAUGAGAUCAUGACGUGAGCUGAAGUUGGACGCUUAACUGACUGAGCCACCCAGGUGCCCCUAUUUAUUUAUUUUUGAGAGAGAGGGGGAGGGGCAGAGAGAGAGAGAGAGAGAGAGAGAGAGAGAGAGAGAGUCCCAUGCAGCCUCCACACUGUCAGCACAGAGCCCAAUGUGGGGCUUGAACUCAUAAACCUUGAGAUCAUGACCUGAGCUGAAGUCAAGAGUUGGAUGCUUAACCAACUUGAGCCACUCUGCCACCCCCUUAUUUUUCUCUUUUUAAAUAUUUCUGCUAUCAUAUUUUCAACUUCCUUCUCGUUCUGUAUUUCUUUUCUAUCGUAUCCUUUCUUUAUUUUAUGGGUGUGCUAUCUUCUCUUUUCUUCUAAAGAUAUUAAUAAUUGCUAUUUUAUUUAAAUGUUUUUUCUGCUCCUCAUAGUGUCUCUGUUUUCUCUGCAUUCCUUUUCCCAGUUGUUGGCUUUGGGUUCUUUCUUCCAUCGUAGAGGCAUUCCCUAAAUGUCCACUUAUAUUUAACCUUGAGGUGUUUAUUUAUUUAUUUUGAUUUUUUUUUAAACACUUAUUUAUUUUUGAGAGAGCGCACACGGACAAAUGGGGGAGGAGCAGAGAGAGGGAGACCCAGAAUCUGAAGCAGGCUCCAGGCUCCGAGUUGUCAGCACAGAGCCCGACGCGGGGCUCGAACUCACAGGCUGUGAGAUGGUGACCUGAACCAAAGUUGCAUGCUUAGCUGACUGAGCUACCCCAGUGCUCCUAAGCUUGAGGUGUUAAAAGCUCCAUAUAAGUGCUCUGUGUUUGGGUGAGACUUGUUCCUCCAGAAUGUUCCAGGUCCCAGAGCCCAGAGAAUAAACCUCCAGUCUCCUGCCUGGGAGUGACAUGUGCAUGUGCACACACUCUCUCUCUGAGAGUAAAUACAUAAACUUAAAAAAAAAAGCUUCAAGUAAUCAAAAAGAUCCUUAAUGUCUUUGAACAAGCAUCAUGUCCCCUUUACAGAUCUUCAAGGUCAUAAUCUUCUUUGUUCUUCUGAACAAAAAAUGAAAUUUCCCUUGUUUUUGACUGUGUGUCUCAGCUCUUAUGAAAAAAAUAUAUGAUUAGCCAUCCUUCCAGUACCUUCUGAAGUGUGUGCACUCAGGCACACAGGGGUGCAGUGAGGGGUGGGUCUUGGGCGGGGGGGCAUGUACAUAGAGGGAACCUGUGGCAUCUAUGUGUUAAGAACUGGGGUGUGCUAGUUGCUUGACUUCUGGCUGGUGGCUGCUCCCUUCAUGUAGACCUCUUGUGAGUGGCAGAAGCCAUAUUUGAAAAUGCCACGUCUGAGUAUCUUUCCCACAACCAGGUUCAGCAACCUCUGCAAGCCAAGCCAAGCCAUGAAAAGGGAGACCAUGCAGUAGUGUAGUAAAAGCUAAUGUAGGGGCACCUGGUACUUAAUAGCUAGUAUUUAGUGAGAGUGUAGUCCGUGUGGGUCCUCACCGGAGCACUUUACAUAGAUUUACUCAGUUACCCUGCUAGUAAGUGAUGGAGGGGACGUUUAGAGCCUGCUCAGAGCCAACUACCGCACUGUCUUUGUAAGGAAGGCAGGAGGGACGCUAAGCGUAAAAGGGAGGCUUCUUAUACUCACUGGGUGAGCUAGAAAAAAAUUCCUCAUUGUAACUACCAUGAGUGGUAUCUUCUUUGCCUCUCACUAUUUUCUGAUACCUCCUCAGGAUGAGUCAGCUCAGAAUUCCUGGAAUUAACACUGCAUAAGAACGCCCUCCGCUUCUCUUUCUACUGCUACUGUCCUGAUUUGGGCCCUCAUCAUUUCUCAUCUUGACCACUGAGACACUCUCCUGUCUGGUGUCCUUCCCUACAGACUCUCAUCCAUCGGGUCCAUCCUUCACACUUGCUGCCAGAGUGAUCUCUGUUUUAGAAAAAUGCAAGUCUGACUGUGUCCCCCCCUGUUUAUUUAUUUUUUAAUGUUUAUUCAUUUUUGAGAGAGAGAGAGAGCAGGGGAGGGGGAGAGAGAGAGAGAGAGAGGGACAGAGGAUCCGAAGUGGGCUCUGAGCUGACAGCAGUGAGCCCCCCCGAUGCUGGGCUCAAAUCCACCAACCAUGAGAUUGUGAUCUGAGCCGAAGUCAGAUGCUCAACCAACUGAGCCACCCAGGUGCCCUCUCCCCUCCACCCCCUCCCCCGUUUAAAAAACCACCUGAUGGGUCCCCAUUUCCUUCAGGAUAAAGUGCAUGCUCUAGCAUGGCAUUGGGGACUUCUUGGAUUAAUCGCAAAGCACAUCUCCAGCCUUUUCUCUUGCUAGUGAAUUUGGCGGCCCCUUCCUCUCUCCCAAAGCCCUCCUCUGUCCCCACCACCUAUUCUCUCUGGACACAGCAUGCGUCCACCUACCUCAGGAUUCUCACACUGCUUUCUGGAAUGCUCCGCCCCCUCUCCACCCGACUGCCAUUCAUCUUGGGAGGCAGUCAAGGACUGCUUGUCUCCAAGAUCUUCUCUGACCCCCCUGUCCUAUCCCUUCACAGUCAGUAGACUCAAUUCUGCCCUCCUUUGUGUCCUCACCAUGUCCUGGCCAGUCUUCUACAGCACUUAUAGCACACUGCUGCCUUGCUUUUCCAUAUGUUGAUCUUCCCCACAAGAUGGGGCUCUCCCCAAGUUUGGGGCUCAAAUCUUACUGUUGUAGCUCCCCUGCUUGGCACAUAUCGGGACUUAAUAAAUGUAUAGGUCUAUUUAUUUGCAUACGAAUGAAUGGAUUCACUUUCCCUAUUGCAUCGUAUAAUCUUCUAAAAGCUAUUGGGCUUUCUGGAACUUACAUUAAGGAAGUCACAUACCAGCAAUAAUAUCCAGAUAACUCAGCCUGUGCCAAAAUUGCCUGACGAGAUUAUCUGUGCCUCGCAGCUAGGACCACAAUUUUCUGCGUCUUUUAUAUUCUCUUCAUGUCCUGACAUAGUGUUGGAUAUGCACUAUCUGUUUAAAAUGUUUUUGUUGAUUUGAGUUGGCUUGGCUAGGGGAUACAAAAGAGAAAAUGUGGUCCCCGCCAUUAUGGGCCUGACACAUAAAAAGGGAGACAGGAUAGGUCCUGUGCGGGAAAAAAAGCCUCAUUAAAACCAAUUACUGAGACUUUCCUUCAAAGUCCCCAAAGAUGCCUGUACAUAUUCCCAAAGAAGCCCUUACGAAUUACAUGACCCUGGUGAAGGUCUUCCUUCACCGUAUGAUUUGUUGCAGGAAAAAUAAGGACUUUCAAAGCGGUUAAGGUCACUUUGUACUAAGACAGUGGCACUCUAUCAUGUUAAAUAAAAUGUCAGUGGAUA